rnacentral:lncRNA from 14 species
GCAUUUCCCCGCGGUUCCACCCAGCCCAAGGCGAGCCCCGGGACAGCGGCACACGCCACUUUCCCCGAGCACCCCAAACUUUCUCCGGCAGCGCCUCACGGAGGGCGCGCACCGGGGCCGCUUCUACGGCGGGGAGAGCCCGGAGAGCCCGGGGCUGGCUGGGGAGGCUCCGUGCCCACAGCACGGAGAGCUGCUGCCCGGGCUCGCUGCUGUCUCCCGGACACGGCAGCGAAGGGCGAGCAGCGCUCGCAGACUCGCCCGCGGCCGCGGCUCUGCCCGGGCACCCCCCGAGGGGCUGAGGGCCCCGGGGCCGGCUCCCCCCGCGCCCACCGCCCGCUCACCCAGCAGAGCGCGGAGGUGCUUCAGGCGGGUCAGCACGUCCCGCUUGGGGUCCAGCGCCUUCUGCGUGGAUUUCCUGACGUCGGCGUGGCUCUUCCUGGAGAACAUGCCGGCGGCACGGCGGGCACGGAUGGAGGCGCAGCGCCCAGCGCGCUCCCCGCGCCGCCGCUCCCGCCCCCCGCCCUGCGCGGGGCGCGCCGGGAGCUGCCGCCCGCCCCGCUCCUGACGUCACCGCGGCGUGGCGCUGACGUCACCGGGGCGGCCACCGGGAGCCCGCGCACCGGGAGCCCGCGGGAGGAGCCCCGGGAACCGCCGGGAACCACCGGGAACCGCCGGGGGCAGCUCCGGGCGCCAGCCCCGGGCAUGGCGGGGCCCCGCGCGGCUCCGGGGAGCGCCGCGAUGCGCAGCGGAGCAUCCCGGGAGAGCCGCGGGAAUGCCCCGGGCAGGGCAGCUGGAAUGGAGCUGGCUCCUAGAAAGGCUGAAUGCUUGGAGUCAGAAAAUUCACUGCUGUCACAUCGUCCCUUGCCUUGGAGCUGGGCUCAGGCUUACAGUGAUUCCUGUUACACACCCUUCCCAUCCCAGGCACGUCUAGGCAUCAUCACUCUGGGCUGAAUCAGACCUGUCUGAGCAUUCACCCUCCUGUCACAGAAGAAGCGAAGGAUGCAGCAAGGCUCAGAGGUACUCCUGCUUUGCAUUAAGCCCC